ACAGCUCAAAUUUGAAAUCUGGCGCACGCCCGAGUUGUAAUUUGCAGAGGAUGCUUCUAGGCAGCGGCCGGUCUAAGUUCCUUGGAACAGGACGUCAGAGAGGGUGAGAAUCCCGUACGUGACCGGCCCGCACCUUCCACGUAGCUCCUUCGACGAGUCGAGUUGUUUGGGAAUGCAGCUCUAAAUGGGAGGUAAAUUUCUUCUAAAGCUAAAUACCGGCUGGAGACCGAUAGCGCACAAGUAGAGUGAUCGAAAGAUGAAAAGCACUUUGGAAAGAGAGUUAAAAAGCACGUGAAAUUGUUGAAAGGGAAGCGCCUGCAACCAGACUUCGCGGCAGGGUUCCGCCGGUCUCCUGACCGGUCCACUCUCUGUCGUGAGGCCAUCAUCGUCUGGGGCCGCCGGAUAAGACCGGAGGAAUGUAGCUCCCCUCGGGGAGUGUUAUAGCCUCCGGUGAUGCGGCGCGCCCCGGGCGAGGUCCGCGCUUCGGCAAGGAUGAUGGCGUAAUGGUUGUCGGCGGCCCGUCUUGAAACACGGACCAAGGAGUCUAACAUCUAUGCGAGUGUUCGGGUGUCAAACCCCUACGCGUAAUGAAAGUGAACGGAGGUGGGAACGUUUCGUGCACCAUCGACCGAUCCUGAUGUCCUCGGAUGGAUUUGAGUAAGAGCAUAGCUGUUGGGACCCGAAAGAUGGUGAACUAUGCCUGAAUAGGGUGAAGCCAGAGGAAACUCUGGUGGAGGCUCGCAGCGGUUCUGACGUGCAAAUCGAUCGUCAAAUUUGGGUAU
rnacentral:rRNA from 1 species